GGUAGGUCCAGAUCACUGUAUCACAAACCCUAACCCUAAUGUACAGACUGAGGUAGGUCCAGAUCACUGUAUCACAAACCCUAACCCUAAUGUAAAGACUGAGGUAGGUCCAGAUCACUGUAUCACUAACCCUAAUGUACAGACUGAGGUAGGUCCAGAUCACUGUAUCACUAACCCUAAUGUACAGACUGAGCUAACUAACUUCAACUCUAAUUUCAACACUAACCCUAACUUCAACCUUAACUACAAAAUUAAGUGUUUAUUAUCAAUGAUGUAGCAUGUUGUGUUUGUUAUGAAAUGUAGCAUGUGGUGUUUGUUAUCAAUGAUGUAGCAUUAUGUGUUAUGAAUGAUGUAGAACGUUGUGUAUGUUAUGAAUUAUUUAGCAUGUUGUGUUUGUUGUGAAUGAUAUAGCAUGUUGUGUUAUGAACGAUGUAGCAUGUUGUGUUUGUUGUGAAUGAUAUAGCAUGUUGUGUUAUGAAUGAUGUAGUAUGUUGUUUGUUAUGAAUGAUGUAGCAUGUUGUGUUUGUUAUGAAUGAUCAUGUUGUGUUUGUUAUGAAUGAUGUAGUAUGUUGUUUGUUAUGAAUGAUGUAG
ensembl:lncRNA